rnacentral:rRNA from 1 species
GAUGAACGCUGGCGGCGUGCCUAAUACAUGCAAGCCGAGCGAACAGACGAGGAGCUUGCUCCUCUGACGUUAGCGGCGGACGGGUGAGUAACACGUGGAUAACCUACCUAUAAGACUGGGAUAACUUCGGGAAACCGGAGCUAAUACCGGAUAAUAUAUUGAACCGCAUGGUUCAAUAGUGAAAGACGGUUUUGCUGUCACUUAUAGAUGGAUCCGCGCCGCAUUAGCUAGUUGGUAAGGUAACGGCUUACCAAGGCGACGAUGCGUAGCCGACCUGAGAGGGUGAUCGGCCACACUGGAACUGAGACGCGGUCCAGACUCCUACGGGAGGCAGCAGUAGGGAAUCUUCCGCAAUGGGCGAAAGCCUGACGGAGCAACGCCGCGUGAGUGAUGAAGGUCUUCGGAUCGUAAAACUCUGUUAUUAGGGAAGAACAAAUGUGUAAGUAACUAUGCACGUCUUGACGGUACCUAAUCAGAAAGCCACGGCUAACUACGUG